rnacentral:lncRNA from 1 species
CUGAUCAAUGAUAUAUAUAAUAAUAUGGAUCGUUUAUGACGCCCCCAAAAUAGUUAUACAUCACCCAUCUUGAGUCGCCAAAUACAUGGUACAGAAUAUAAAUAUAAACUUAACUAUACAACCGUCGUGUAAUAUAUGACAAUACAUAAACUGAGAUUUUUAAUAGGAAUAUUGUCAUCUAGACAAUAUCCACACUUAAAGGAGUCAUCAUUACAUUUAUUGUCACACUAUUUAACAGAAUAGUGAGGACUAAUAAU